AGAGAGAGAGAGAGAGAGAGAGGGAGGAGGAGAAAGAAAAGAGACAAGUUGUUCGAGCAGUGUGGACGAGAAUCGAAAUAAUCUUCGAAGCCUUCUAUCUUUAUCCGCCUCCCCGCGUCGAUCGACCGGGCGCGAGCGAGCAAUACGAGCUGCGUCCUUGAUGACGAAACACGCCUCCCAGACCCGAAUAUUUCGUGCAACAAUGACUUUUCCAUGUGAAACUUUCGCCGCUGUAACCGAUAGGAAGUGUGUGCGUCGCGAUAAGUCCCAUUCCCCCGUGGAAGCCUCUUUCGAAACUACUUUUUUGAGCUUCCUCUACGUUUUCGACGGACUCGACACGACCGACAACCUCUCGCCCACGGUAUUACCUCGGGUUUAUUUAUUCCCGUGCUUUUUUGACGUUUCCCUCGAAAGUUGAGAGGCGUCAAUCAUUCUGGAAGAGCUUCAACUCCGCGUUGGUGAACAAACAAUUUCUUCGACGCGAGUGUGACACGCACUCGAGGUCUCCUGGCCCAUCCUCGGAAACACACACUCGGAAUCAGUCAUCUCUCUGCAAAUUUAAUGUUUUCUCUUCAUUCUUUGUUUCUUCCGCAAAGUCCUCCACGCUCAUCGAGCCCCGCGUCUCCGUAAAAUACUCCUGAAUACACAGCCAUCCGUCUCCUCUCCCAGCGCCAAAGGAUUCUUUCAGAGUGUGUAAAUCUAGCUGCGAGCAUGCACGAUUGAACGAACCACGAAAAAUACUCUUAUCUCACGCAAAAGGUGCCGGGCGAACGGGCGCUCCGGGGGAAGAAUAAAGAAAAGAACGCGAGGAGCCCGCGGCCUUCGUUCCGCUACAGGAGAAACUGCUCUCUGCGAUGUUCGAUGCACACGUGUGCUUUGGAGACCCGCUUUUCUGCCUCCGGACGCACCACCUCCGUAAGUAACUCCCUCGAUUAUCCGAACAACUCUGAAAGAGGCGUCAAUUGUUUAGUGAAUGAGCUUCGCGCUGUGCAAUUCUAGAGAGAAAAGUCCUCGGUGAUUUUCCUCUCGGAUGCACCGUUCCGAAGAUAUCGAAUGACGAGCUUCGGCGAAUCCGAUUGGCCGGUAGUCGGCAGAAAGUUCCGAUCAACGCUCGUCCCUUGGGGAGCGAUUGAGUCGUUCAAUUCCGAAGAGAAAAGUCCUCAACGACUUUCUUCUGGGACGCACAGUUUGCGGGAUAUUGAAUAAACAGUGUUGGCCAAUGCGGCGAGCUCGUUGGAGCAAAUGGGCGUGGCGGAGGCCGAACCGGAUUGGCUGCUUCGCGAAUUACCUCGUAACUCGUGAAGGGUGGGUCGGAGAGGAAAAUGGAAAAGGAGUUUCUCGUUCGGAAUCACGUAAUUUAGGAACUGGAACAAUUUCAAAAGUGAAUUUCGCAAAUUCUGGAUCGAAGAAUUUGUAAAGAUUUAAAAAAAAGUCAUCGGAGCCAUCGAAGGUGCUUUGCGGGUAUUCUCAAGGCCUCGCAAACUUCUAUCAUCGCUCGGGAUCGAAUUGUUUGAAACUGUGCUUAAAUUGGCAAUACUAUGAGCACAGUAAUUUUGUGUGCAUUAACUCUACAAUGUAAGGGAGCGAGUGUGCGGUCAAAUACACCGCAGGAUCAUUGGAAACUCAAAUAAUGGUAGGAAUUACCGCGCGCUGCAAUUUCCACCGUGAUAAAUGAGCCGGAAUUGUGCAACGGAGUUUCGAGUAUCGAAAAAUGUUGGGGUUCAUUAUCGCCCCGUGUGCGCAGAAAAAUUUAUAAAUUCACGAACGAGCCUUUCGAGUUCUGCUAGAAUUUGAAGUUCCGAAUUUCUGAGGCUCCUUAAAAUUGAAGCGUUCGAUAAUAAUUCGAAGAUUUUUUUGUUGCAGGAAAUGUUAUCUCGUUUUUUCACACUUGGAAUGUGAUGAAAAAAAUGGAGAUUGAAGUUGGUCGAUUAGAGGAGCCUCGGAGGUACAUAAAGGGGUCCAAUUUCUCACAAAUAUAUCCGUGGCUAUCUCGCGUCGUCGUGGAAGCUUCGGGAUCUUUUCUUCCUCCCUCAUUCUCCUUUGUUUCUCGCAUCUCUCGGGCAGGCAAAGUUCUUAACGACGAGUCGGAGUUGUGGCCUCCACGAGAGCAGGAACCCUCUCAUCUCUUCGCCCACGCUCGAGCGUUAAACCUCGCUUGAAAAUCCGUCCUCCUACUUCUUCGAAUGUUGCUCGUUCAGCAUCUCUCCGAGACAGCAUCCACCCUCUCGACAUGACUCUUUAUUUUCUCUCCACCUCCUCUCGUCGUUCGAGCGGAGCGUCGUAUAAAUACUCAUUUCAUCGUUCUCACCGUGCUCCUUAUAUUCGAUGAGGACCGUUCGCAGGAAUUUCCAUUCGAUGAGCUUCGAUUACUUCGACAACGACGUUCCUUGGAGUUUCGCACCAUGCCGAGUCUCUGCGAGGUGUUAUAUUUUCACUAGCCAACUUGAGGAAGCUCUAAAAGACGACAAAAUUCUCAUUGGAGUCGUUGCAUUUAUUGAGGCUCCGUAUAAAAGUGCGACGUUCGUUUGGGGAGGCUUGGAAAAGGCUCACGAGUAUUCUUGGCCGUUUGACCGAACGUCGCGAGGCCCUUUGGUCAGGCAUCGGAGUCUCGGCAUCCUGGAAGCUUCGAGAAUGAGCCAGAGAAGUAGAAAGAAGUUGGGCCAGGAGGAGAAAAAAAACGAGGAGGAAGAAGAAGGAGAAGAAGAAACGGAGGAGUGACGAAACGGUUGGAAAGAGGAGCCACGCUCGCCACAGGGGUCAGCCAAAGCGACCGGGCGAACAAGCCAACCCGGAGGAGAGAAACAUCGAGAAAGAAAGAUCGAAAGAGAGGGAGAAAAAGAUAAAAGGAAGAAAGAGAGAGCGAGUCGAUGGUAAGAGAGCAAGCCCACACGAUAUAGAAGUGGCGUUGGGGUGGGCGGUCAAGGGGCCUGAGGGGGCCUCUUAAACCGGCAAGAGAAGUGACCGGAUGGCCUUGGUCCGAAGAAGAGGGCCCCAGCUACAGCGACUCUCGCGGAUAGUUACCGGGGGACCGACUAUAACUGCUCUCCUCCUUUUUCUUCUUCUUCUUCUUCUUCGUCUUCUCCCCCAUCCACACAUUUUCUCUUUUCCUCCAUCUUUCUUUCCUUCACCUUCGCCUCCGACUCGCUCGUUUCUCUCCCCCUCCUUCCCCCAUCGCAUCCUAUCUCCAAUUUCGACCACUUUUUAACUUCACCGCGUGUACUCUGUAAUGCAGCGUAUAUACGAGAGGUAUCAUAUCUUCCAAGACAACGACUCCGACUGCCUCGACGCUUCUACUCCAUCAUCAUUUUUUUCCAAACUUUAUUAAACCUCUUCGCUUUUGUUACUUUCAUACCUUAUUUCUCUUCAAGUUUUCUCAAUAUUUAUUCGAACGAUCGAUUUCGUCGAGUUUCUCCGUCGCAGGCUCAUCUAACGCUCGAUUUUUGCGAGCCAAAAAACAUGGUUCUGAAAAAUAAAUAAAUUGGUCGUUAGACACGAAUUUUUUGGUGUCGCUCUCAUUUUGUACACAUUUUUUUUUUGCGAAAAUAUGAGGAAUUUCGUUGUGGAGAACGAUUCGUCGAGUGCGAGGAGCGAAAUUUCCAAAUGGCGCUUUCUUGUAAGCCUAUUUCAGAUUACGUUAUGUUCAUGUCGAGUCGGCUCGUCCCGAAACAUUGUUCUUCUUCUUUAUGAGCAUUCUCCUGUUACUAUACAUCCAUUAAUAUACAAAACAGAGGAAUAAAGUUUAGCCUUGUAUUCCAGGCUCACACUGGCGUGUUUGAAACACGGAAGAAGAUCAUCCUGGGGGUCCUGGGAUCGUCACGAUUCUAUCGUUUGUGUACACGAUUCGGUUCACCGCGAGAGUUCAGGAAUCCCAAACAACGAGGGAAAAGCCGAUCUGCUGAGCGACCUCAUGUUCGCCAAACAUCAACCCUCUUUUGAAUUUACGCCGAGCAUCGUAUUAUUAAGUUAUUGCAACGAAAUGGAGUCCCUGCAGUGGAACUCAAAACACCCAUCGAAUCGGUCAAAACUUUGAAUCGUUGAGCAUUCCUUUACGGCAGGAUUCUGCGAUAUCGUACGAUUAUUUCUUUCAAAUACCGAGUGAUGAAGUUUUACGCUGUCAGUCGUCAGGCGAAUUUUCUGACUCGAAGCCCCGAAGCUCAAACAUUGAAAAAAAGUGACACGGAGUUUCGAAACUCAUUUACGUCGAGUCUGACGUGUAUCUGGAGUACAUUAUACACCCGUGCACAAAAAUAUAUACGUAUAUAUGAGA